UAAAGUAUUUUCUGGGUGGAGGCUUGGGUUUGGAGGAUGUCGGCUUUCUCACCAAAAUCUCAAAAGAUUUCUUCAGUCUCAGUGGUGGGCCGCCCAUGCCAGCUGCUCUCCAGCCGUUUGACACCUGCACGGCAAGCACAAGGAAACAUCCUAGCUGAGCUUCAAAAGACCAGACUCGCUUGGUUGCAGGCGGGAGGACCGCAGGCAGCACCCUGUACACCCCUCUGCUCAGUGUAAGACUCGAGCCUGGGCAGCCCUGGGUUCAGACUCUGCUCCACUGGUGCCUGUCCUUUCCAAACUUGACGCCUUCCACGGCCUGAGCCACAGCUUCCUUGAGUUGCUGUUCAGAAACCUGGAAAACAUCCGUGACCAGCUCAAGCGAGAAGUGAAGACAGGUGCAGCCGAUUCCAAAGGCCGCACCUGCCGUGCCCAUCACCGGCUUCCCCUUUCCACUGUGCAAGAGCUGACAAAUCAGCUUCUGGAUGUGCCCUGAGCAACACCCUGUCCCCGGGGUCUUCCUGGUGUUGGUCAGUGUCCAUCAAUAAAGGUGAUCACCUUGGUUCUCCAACCUUCUUCUCACCACUGCAAACUCCCAGCACCCACACGGUGGCUAACAAUUGUUUGUCACUGUAGUAUCAAGGGAUACGACACCCUCUUUUGUCUUCCUUGUGUACUGCACAAACACAGUGCACAGACAGAAGCAAGCAAACGGCCGUACACAGAAAGUAAAAAAUGGUCAAGUGAGAAUCUAGGAGUCAAGCAGACUUAUACUCCAAUCCCAGUUUCUUCAUAGACUAGACACAGACACUGAGACACACAGGUUAACCUUCUAAAAAUCUCAAUUUCUUGUUCUGUAA